GGUCCUAUAACUCAGCUGGUUAGAGUAGCUGACUCAUAAUCAGCAAGUCCUUGGUUCGAGCCCAAGUGGGACCAC
rnacentral:tRNA from 2 species